rnacentral:rRNA from 1 species
ACUCCUACGGGAGGCAGCAGUGGGGAAUAUUGCACAAUGGGCGCAAGCCUGAUGCAGCCAUGCCGCGUGUGUAGAAGAAGGGCCUUCGGGUUGAUGAAAGUCACUUUCAGUCGUGAGGAAGGGUAGUAGUAGUUAAUAGCUGCUAUAUUUGACGUUAGCGAACAAGAAGAAGCGACCGCUAAACUCCGUGCCAGCAGCCGCGGUAAUACGGAGGGUGCGAGCGUUAAUCGGAAUUA